AACAUGCUUACUGAAAGAGACAAAAUUCGUCAUGAAGAGUCAAACAUUUUCUUUGUAAUGGAUUGCCACAUUGCAGACAUUGUUCCCUUUCACCAGAAGAGCCUGCAUAAAUGUAUUUUAAACUAAUUACCUUUAGGUGGAAAAUAUGACUUGCUUUCAGCUUUGUGAGGCCAGUCCACCACAAGAGGUCCAAACCUACGAAAGCUGGCAGUGAUCUCAUCUACAAAAAACAAAUGAGGCACCUUAGAGAAUCUGAAGACUGACAGUGGCAAGUAAAAAUUCUUACUUUCAAAAAUUCCCAAAACCAAACAAGCUAUUUUCUACACUUAUGAAGAAAAGAAAAUUGGACCUUUUUAAAGUAACUGUAUGAAAGCCAAUUCCCACACCUCACCAAUGUAACUUGUUCACAGUACCUUCAUCAAUGUCAGGAGGAAGACCUCCAACAAACACCUUUCUAGAAUAGCGUUCCACUCUUUCACCAUUCUGACAUCGUGUUGGAGAGCUGAGACCCGAUGAUAAAGACUGAUCACCAUGACUGUCAUCUAGGAAGCCAUCUUCAAAAGGAAAGAGUGAAGACCGACCUGUAACAGAUUUUGUAGUAUCUAUAGUUAACGCUGUUUCCUGGAGAAUUAAAUAUUUCAGUAAAAAUUGUUAUUCUUUUAA